GCCUACGGCAAUACCACUCUGAGAGUGCCCGAUCUCAUCUCAUUUUGGAAUCUAAGAAGGGUCAGGCCCAGUUAGUACUUGGAUGGGAGACCGCCUGGGAAUACCGGGUGCUGUAGGCU
ensembl:rRNA 5S_rRNA 5S ribosomal RNA